GAACCCGCGUCCCCUGCAUCGGCAGGCGGACUCUCAACCACGGUGCCACCAGGGAAGCCCAGAAAUGGCCAAUUUUUAUUAAAAUGUUUCUGGAAGAAAAUUUAAUCUGGCAAUAUAGACUAAUACUCGUUUUGCAUAGUAUAUUACUGUUGAGUGCUCUUAGGGAGAUGGGUGAAGGUUUUGUUUACACAUUUGUGAAGCAAGCCUUUGCAUGAUAACUUGUCAUUAAUCGAAGGGCAAUGAGCUUGUCAAGUUUAACUUAUUUGUUUUCUUAACAGUAUUCAUCUUUAGGACUAUUGUUUGAGGAUAGAAUAUUAGUAGGAAUAGGAAUGUUUGUUUUGCUGUUACUGGGAAACUCUAGGUUUGCUGAAGGGUGUAGCCUUAAACUAAAAUGAAGUUUGAUGUUAUCAGUUGACCCUCAGUACCUCAAAUAUUUGAAAAUUGGCAACAUUUCUUUCACAUAAAGAAACUUUUAUAACUGAGUCACAUGGCUGUGUUUUGGGUCAGUUUAAAUAACUAAUUGGUAACCACUUCAUUUGGCCCAGGCCAGUGAUAAUUGGAAGAAAUUCAGCUUGUACUUUCGUAGCUUAUAUUAAGCUUGUGGUAGAAAGAAGAAAAUUUAGCCUGAGUUAUUUUUGAGAAAAAAAUUGAGUUGCAGUAAGUGUUUGGUGAUAAAUUAUAGAUAACCUAGAAACCAUUUUUCAUAAGUGAAUACUAAACCGUACAUUUCAAAAAGUUCUUCCUCCUUAGAACAGAGCUUUAAGGGCACUAACUAGGUGCAGUGUUUCUCAACUUGGGGCUGUUACUAUAUCCUAGAGGACAUGCAGAAAUGUGUGGGAUUUUUGGUGGGUUGGGGGUAGAGGGAGAUGCGUACCCUGCAUCUAGGGUUUGCUGGGUGGGGGCCAGUGGUGCCAAGUGCCCUUUGAAAAUGAAGCAACCCCAUUGAGAACACAGGUAGUCCCUACUCCUAUAAUUCAUGGUGGGUGGAAUGGUGGACUAGGGCAACUGCAGUGAAAGUUGUCCUUCCUCUGAAAUAGAGCCUCAGAAAAAUAAACAAAUUAGCAAGUAAAUCUCUCUCAGGAAUUAUAGUAACAACUACUGUAAGUAAUAAUCUCAGCUUUCCUUUAUCUGUACCAAUUGUGUGUUUUAUUUUUAAUUUGGAGAGGUAGUAGCAAUGUACUAGAUGCUGCUUGUAAUUUAUUGCAGGGGAUUACUGCAUAAUUUCAGAAAAGAAAAGAUUGCUUCAAUAAUUUCAAGUUAUCAUAAUUGGGAUAUUAUGGUGUUUUGAUUAGCAUUGGACUUUAUAAAUAGGAUUUAGUGUCAUGGUUAACACUAUUAAGUAUCCAGCUAUCAUCGAUUACAUUAUUGCUGAUGGAAUAGACAUGUCACCCUAGAUACACAUAUAUUCACAUAUUUCACAGUUAAAGAGUGAAAAUAAAAUAGAUUAGGGCAAGAUUUUCUUGUAGACAGCAUCAACUCAUCACAUUCAACAUAAUUUUUCAUCUGUAGGAAUGGCCCAACAUGCAGUUCUUUACUGAGUUUAAUUCACCCAUGAAUAUUUUAGCUAGGUAAGACUAGUUUGGUUCAGUGGGUCUCUUUUAAGAUCUGUUGAAAAUAAAUAGAUCUUGGUUGUACAAAAAUAAUUUUGUUUGCUUUUAUGCUGAGGUUGGGCUUUACUUGUGUCUCCUGUGUUCUCAACUUUUUGAGCUGUUGCUGUGGAGCGGUGAAAUGGAUAAUGCAAAAAUACUUAUUUGGCUUUGGAUGAGUAGGUUACUACCACAGUGUUAGUUGAAUUGCACUUUAGUUUUAGGUUAGACAACUAAAUUUUCACAACUAUAACCCUGUGGGUUAGGUGCGAUUUCUCCCAAAGUAAUAGAUGAAGAAAUGACAUCAGAGGCCUCAAAGUCAUCCAUGUAGCUUAGGAGCAGAUUGGCUUCCAAAACUCUUGCUUUUUCUCUAAAACCAUAAUGCCUACCUAUUUAUAUUUGAAUGACAUUAGGGGCAUAGGGCAUGAAAUAACUACAGUAUAGAGACUUGAGUCUGCAAACAUUCGGAUCAAGGUUAGCAUUACUGUUCUCCAUUUCCUUUAGGGUAAAGUAGAUGCAUAAACAUUGAUUUUGUAGGGCUUUGCAGACUGUAUGGUAACACAGUAAUAUUGAGUUACAAGAUUAUUUUCUCAUCUGGUUUGAUAAUACAUUUGAUACAAUUUAAUCUAGAUAUGGAAGUAAUAUUUUUAUCAGCAUCAUACAGAUGAGUUUAUAACAGUUGUGUUUUGCUUAUAACUGCCAUCCUCUGAUGCUUUUCUUCAUCCCUUUUAUAUUUGAAAACCUUUGUAGAGUUGAAUGAUUUAGUGGAAAACGUGGCACUUUAUAGAAAACAAUUUGUUCGAAUCCAUAUGAAAAUUUCUUUCUAUGAGGUUUAAAUUUGUAGACCAUUGUUCAUGUUGUGGCUUAUUUUAAGUAAAUGAUUGCAUUUGUCAAAUCUACUGAUCUAAAAAUAUCUUUUAUAUUAAAGUUUUAUUUUUGUGCUACUUGAAAGAAUCUGUGCAGGAACUGCAUACAAAUUAGAUAAUUGUUGAAGUUUCAGUUUAGCAAUUUUGAACCUUGUAAAAGAAGCAAGUUCAGCAUUUAUUUGAAAUUGGGGUUCUAGCUAACUGCCUAAUAUAAUAUACCACAGAUGGGCAGUGGACAGUUAGAGGUACUUUCGCAAAUGUUUUAGAAACCUUAAAGAGUGUGUUAGCAACUUAGCAAUGUCUUAUGUGGGAUGGGGUUGUAGGUUAAAGUUGCUCAUCAAGUAAUGGCCAUAUUGUAGUAGAUAAUUAAACAAGGAUUUGUGGUUUUAAGGUAGUAAUACCUUUUAGAAUUUGUUUACUUUAAUAUCGAGGUUCUGGGGACCAUAGAUAGGCUUGUGAACUCUUGCUAGACUGAAUUAAAGAAGAAAUGGUGGCACGUGUGAGAUAAAACUUUUAUUUUCAUUCUUUUUAGUAGGUAUGUAUCUAACUUAGGAUGAUGCUGAAAUUAGACUGCUUUGCUCAUGCUCUCAUGAAGCAGUCUUUCAUAAUGGCCUGAGUUGAGUGAGAAGUUGAUUAAAGGUGGCCUACAGCCCUUAACCAGUUUUGCUUAUGAUUAUGCUUAUGUAUUGGCUUAGAAUCAAAGUUGUUUUCCUUUUUUUUUUAAAUUUAUUUUUGGCUGUGUUGGGUCUUUCUUGCUGCGGACGGGCUUUCUCUAGUUGCGGCGAGCAGGGGCUGCUCUUCGUUGCGGUGCGCGGACUUCUCAUUGCGGUGGCUUCUCUUGUUGCGGAGCACAGGCUCUAUGCAUGCGGGCUUCAGUAGUUCCGGUGCACGGGAUUCAGCAGUUGUGCCUCGCGGGCUCAAGAGCGCAGGCUCAGUAGUUGUGGCUCACGGGCUUAGUUGCUCCGCGACAUGUGGGAUCUUCCUGGACCAGGGCUCGAACCCCUGUCCCCUGCAUUGGCAGGCAGAUUCUUAACCACUGCGCCACCAGGGAAGCCUCUGUCUUUGAUUGCAUGACUUUUGAAGUCGAUCUCUCUUCCAGUUUCCACUUGAACCUGGUAGCUUUUUCUAGUUCCCAGUGAGAGGAAAAUAAAAUAGUAUUAGAAAUCAUUUCUCCUCUUACUUCCAUAAACCAUGUGACCUGAAUAGUUACAGAAAUCCAUAUGUGUUUAUUACUUCGAAAUAUGUCCAGUGUCACAGAUUCCUAAGGGACUCGUAUCCAAUGUGUUUUUGUUUUUUAAAAAAGUAAGCAAUGCUUACCAAAAAUUCACUGUUGAAUUACUUUAGCAGGUAUUUAUUUUUCGGAAACCCAUUUAUGGGAAGUUUGCCUGUAUUAUUGGUUGUAGUUAGAGGGAUGGUUGUAUCAUUUAAUAUGUAUAUAAACAGUUUUAACUACUGCUAUAUUAACCACUUUGGUUACUGAUAAUCUCCCUAAGCUUUGUUGUCACCUGUUUGACUUUGGGUUUGGUUUAAAUUCUUAAAUGUUUUUAUGAGGAGCGUAUAUACCCUGAUUUGGGCCUUUUAAAUGAAGACAUAAGGAUGUAGGAAAGAAGAAGGGACUUCGUUUCUUUAAAGAUUCACUGUACACUCUAGAUUAUGCAGAACACAUGAUGUUAAAAAUAAAUUCGUAUAGGUAGAUGUUGGUUUUGAAGAAGAGUGGGGUGGGCAUGGAACUUAGCUGAUGGGAUAGGAAUCAUUUACGGUUUAUAUAAAAGAAAAAAAUCAUAAUUUUAAGUGAGAAACAUCAGAAUAGUUCCAUAAAGUUUUUCUUCCCAUACUGAUGGUUACCACAAGAAACAGGAGACUCCUGUAAUUCUUAGAAUAUUAGUGCUGGAAAGGACUAAGGUGAUUUGUAUAACCCCUUAAGUUUUCAAAAGAUAGAUGGCCCAGAUUACUAGUACAGAGUUUCAAGUCAGCUUAAAGCACAUUCGGGAAUUGCCAGUCCUGCCCUAUGUUCGCUCUGUAAGCCAGAGCUGUUAAAGGGUAGCAUGUGGGGAGAAAAGGGAAGGAGCCACAUUUUAUAUGCUUACUCCGUUGCUUCAUUAGCUCCAUUUUCAUACCCAAGUUUUCUGUUUUCUUAGAACUGUUUUAAUGCCCAAUUCUACCAGGGCCUGUUGUCAGUAAGGACAUUAACUGUGUUCCCCUCAGGGAUGGGUUUACUACUAGCUGUCAGAAAGCUAUUGGGUAUCCUAAUGUGUUAAUAGCUGAAACUCAGCUGUAAUUUUCUCCUAAAUCCUUCAGCAUUUUGCAUUCUGUACAUUGUGGUGCUUUUUCCACCUUGUAUUGUUAUAACUGUAAGCUCCUAAGGGGCAGCAAUUUGGUCUUAGGCAUGUACCCUGUUCAGUGCCUGGCAGCACCGUGUUUGAAUCAGGGUCCUAAUCUUCCUUUCCACUGAUUUUCCCUGUACUUCGUGAAAGGAUGCUCCAGCCAUGCUGAACUACUUAACGGUUCCUCUAACAAGCCAGGUAUGGCUGAUUCCGUGGCUUCAAGUGCCUUCACUUCCCUGAAGAUAGACUUGCAUCUGCAUUCUCCUCACCACCCCCAUCUCUCCCAAAUCUCUUACCAUCAAAGCCAUUUUUUUCAAGGCCUAGUUUGAGCUUUUUUUUUUUUCUCCCCUAAGAGAAAAGAUGUCUUACGAGAGGGUAGCCCCCUUUUAGGAGUUGAUUUGUGCAGAAUUUGAAGUGAGGAACAAAUUUAUUCUCAUCUACUUUCCUUACACAUUGUCCCUCCUGUUUGAAAUUCUGUCCCAACCUUCACUUUAAAAUGUGCUCCUAGAAUACUUUAUACCUUUCUCUUAGCUAAUAACUUACCCCUUCAACCUAGAAUUAGAACAGACCUACCUUAUGAGACCAUAAUCUCCUGGAGGACAAGGACUUGAGGAUUAAUCUCUUUAUUCCUCCUUCCUCCUGGAGGUACAUGAAAGCAUCCGUAAAUGAUGAUUCACUCAAUUAAUAAAUUAAUGUAUUUCUGUUUUCUUUCUCACAAGGGAGGCAUGCCUAGAGACCAGACUUAAUUCAGUAAAUUAUAGGCCCUGUGCAUUUCAUAGUGGAGGGGAUUGUUGGGAAAUUUUGAGGGGUGGGCAGAGGAGGGAGGAAGUCACUGGUCAUUUUGAAGUACUUCCAUCCCCGGUCUGGGCCCUUAGCUAUUUCUUUCUGAUUGUGCGCAGUAUAUCCUGGGCACUUUGUGUCUAUGCACAAGAAUUGUAUGCGCCAAAUUUCAAUUCCCAAACCUACUCUGUUCUCAGUUUGUCAUCACCCAUGCCAUAAGUCUAAGUCACCUUAGACUUACGUCUUAGUCACCUUAGACUCAGUCUUAGUCAUCUGCUUCUUGUUUCCUUACUUACUCCAGUGUCCAGCUAAGUCCUGUCAGUUCUACCUCAGCAGUCUUUCACAUCUUCCUCCUCACUUAGAUAAUUUCAGUGGCCUCUCAGCUUCCUUGACCUCUUCUUAUUCCCAGCCUACUUUCUACAUGAUAUUAGAUACAUCUUACUGAAACCUAGCUCUGACCAUGUAUCCCAUGUAUGUGUUCUAUCCUCCCUACUAGACUGUAAGCUCCUUAUGGGCAGGAUCUGUGUCUGAGUCAUCUUUGUAUCUCCCAUAGCACCUAUCAAUAAAUAUAUCUUGAAUGAACAGCGUAAAGCCUUGUCUUAAGUGAAAUGAUGUUUUCCAGAUGAUAUGUAGGUUCCUCUCGGGUAAUGGGGAGAUUUCAAAAGUUCUCCUAAUAUAAAGUCGGUUAACUAGUAACAACUGUGAGUUAACCACAGGGAAAAUUUCAGAAAAACUUUAAUUUUUUUUCCAUUGGAAUCAGCAUGGAUAUGUGUAUAUGGAUGGUUCAAUAAAUAUAUUUUUAUAUACAUGUAUCACAGAAAUUUUACAUUCCAUCUUCAAACUGCAGAAAUAGAUUUUUUUUAACAAGCCAAAAAAUAACUGCCAUAACAUUUAUGACUUCAUGCAAAAAAUGGGGAAGAAUCAGGGACAAAGGGGAAUUAAUUGGUUGUUCAAGGUGAAGAGUCCAGUGAGAAGUAGAAAGGUACAGUAGGAAGCGAUUGCUUAACAUGCUGCUUAAGGUGGUAGCCAAACAAAUCCUUAACUGCAGCAUUAAGGCCAUACCAAGUGUAUACACAUAUACAAAGAAAUUUCCAUAGAAAAGGCAUACUGUCACAUUUUCUUCCAGGAGAGGAUGAGGAGCUUUGUGACUAAUCCUCACCCAAAUUUCCAGGCCAGUUAAUUGUUUAAGAUGUCCCCAGGUUACUUAGAAAUGUCUUCUACUUUGGCCAACUGUCAGUUACUGCUCUGUGGGCUCGUGACUUUCGUAGUCUCUUACAGGGAAGUAUGAAUCAUCUUGAACCUCUUCCAUCAUGGGUGAUCAAGCACUUCGUAGCUUAACUAACACUGCCCAGCCCAGCAUAGUUUUUACAUCUCGCCAAAGUAUUGUAAUUUGCAUUUGUCUUAGCUGUAACAGACUGUGUAGCCAAUGAUGGCAUUGUGACCUGAAGAACUAAACAGUGCCUUUUUGUUCUUUGGGGUUAAGGUAACUUUUUGAAUAGUUAAAGUGUAAUGAACCAAAGUGUGAGGUUUCAGGUAACGACCCCUGGAGUUGUUGAAAGUUAAUAAUCAACUUCUGUCCCCACUGUGUCAUACAUUUAAGUUGGCAGCUACCUUUUUGGAAAAAAGGAAAUGUAAAAUCACUUGCAGAAAUAUCGUAACAUGGGAUUUGCUCUUCUGCCUAAACAUCAAGUCAGGCAACUUUUAAGACAAAGGGCAUAUUUUUUGUGCAAAUACCAAAUGGGUAAAAUAGGGAAAACAUGGGCAGAUGUUUGGAGAUGACUUCCAGUUAUGCAGAAGUCAUUUGCUUUGGCAAGGUUGGGGGGCAACUCUUGAGACUGGCCCAUUUUAGUGGAUGAAUUGUCCAAAAACAAAAAAAAAUUAAAUCUAAGAUAAAUUAUGUAAGUAAAAUACAGUGACUGACUUUGAGCCUUUAUUUGAUGAUGUUACCACUCAUUUUGGAGUGUUUUAGAUCAGUCUAACGCUGCUUUUUCAUUAGUGUUGUCUUAGCUGUGAAUUGGAUAUCAAGUAGUCAUGUUCGUCCCCAAUUCUUUAUGGGCCAGUUUCCAAGUAGGGCCCAGGGUAUUCACAACAACUGUGGCUGCAAGGUAAUUCGUCUCCUCCCGUGGGUUCCCUGGGUCAGUCAAGUUUGAGAAUGAGGUCUCUGGAAAUGGCUUGUUCUGGGAGAGGACCAAAUAAUGUGUGACUUGGGAGCACUUUAGUAUGUUUUGAACACUUAGAAAGUGAGCAGUCAGUAUCCUUUCCAACUGCGUUUCACCCAAACUGACACUAGUUAUUUACAUUGCAGUAAUUUGCAUGGGUUCUAGAUACAGCACUUUUGGACUGAUCCAGACAAUGAGACAUGUGGAUCCCCUUUGGCAACCUUGCUGAGAGGCUUAAAAGCGUUAAGAGUUUUGUCUUGGUCACUUUGUAGUUCAUGUUGUACACCUCAAGUCUAAUUACAGCAGGGAAGAUGUAUAUUGUGUCGUUUUUCAAACUUAUUUGGAGGCUGCUGAGGUCCUUGGUAUGUUUGUCUUGAAAGUAGAACUCGGCUAUUUAACUUGCUUUAAAAAAAAUUUUUUUUUUUUUGAGAAAGUUGUACUUUUGUUUAAUAUGUGCAAGAAUCACAUUGGGUAGGUAUUUAAUCUGUGUCCAGUAUACUAAGUAGCAAGACACACCCCUUUGGGAUUUAAUUCACUCAUCUCAUUUUAACUGUUGUUUAUGCUGAAAAUAUCAUAAUGGAUCACGUAUUGGAAGGUUGAACCAUUAAAAUGUGAAAUAGUCUGAAUUUUAAAUACUCUGAAAUGCAUUGUGGGAAUGUCCAAUUUUUUUGUCUCUUGCAUACUAUUCUGGCUAAAUGGCAUGUUGAGCGUAGUACACCUUUAAAUGUGGUAGAAAUAUAUAUCUAACAUGGAAAAAACAGUUUAGCAAAUUGAUUAUUUGAUAUAUAAGCACUCUAAAAAAGAUGUGGGGCAGUCUUUCAUCUAUUACUAGGAUAGGUAAUACUAACCUUCUCUUUCCCAAAAAUAUUCUUUCUAAAGAAAGGCAAAUCAUUCUGAAAGAAAUUAUUCUUUUUACAUACUUCCACAAGCAGUGACUUAUUAAAAACCAGUUACGUUUUGUCUGUUUUUUUUUUUCUAUUCAUAUUUGACAUUUUCACGCUCCGUACCCUUUUUACUUUAUAGUCAUGAUUUCGUCCUUUGAAUAGAUGCUCUUUGGGUUGGGAGAAUCAUUUUAGUUACAGCUGAAAAUAAAAAGGACAUGCUAGAUUAUUCUUUUCUUCUAGGUCAUCUCUGUUUAAUAUUUCAGAUCAACAAAAUGUAAUAGUACUAGGAUCACAAUCUCUUCAUUGCAAAUAGCUACAUUGUACUAAGAAUUGCCUUGGUUUGAGAUUUGACAAAAGAAGAAACUCUAGAAGUAACUUUUUUCAGAAUCACUGUAGAAUAGUGAGCUGAAUGUAGAACCAUGACUCUACUGUACCUUUAUUGUCCCCUUUCUAGUGCCUACCUACCACAAACUAAAUGCAUAAUACUUGGCUUGAAUUGAUGAUGUCCUAGAAGAUGUGAAUUUCUAGUGGGUAUUAACUAUAUCUGCUGCUGAGAUGAAGGGAAAGGCAAGUUCCCUGCAACAAAGUACAGAGCCUGGAUAGGAGUCAAGAGCUGUUAGAAGGCCCUCCUUUAUUGGAACAUUGGUCAGGCUGCCACUUGUAAUACUCUUGUUUCUGUGGUACCUCAUAUAAACAGUUGCUCCGUCUUUACCUCCGCAGCUGCUUGGGGGAAGUGGUUACCUUGUGUUUAACACUUUCAAAGGGCCAGAUGAAGGGAGAGUGAAGAUCAUUUGUCAUAAUGUCACCCUAUAAAUAUUUUGAAGAGAUUCUAUUGCUAUAAACCAUAAACACAUCCCUGUUGGGAAAGACAGGAGCAGUGUUUUCUGAUUAUAAGGAGUGUUUGUUGGAGCUACAGGCGUGUGGAAGCAAUUUCAGGAACAUCGCUGUGAGGAGUCUCUGGCAGAGAGAAUUCAGACAACUGCCAUAGGAAAUGGGGUACAGUCUUCACAGGACAUAUAUGCUAAAAUACAGAGUGGAAUAUUGUCCUGAUGUUGGAUGGGAUUCUCAGGUGAGAAGCUAGUUUAUCAGUACUGUGAAAUAACUAGACUUUCACUGCCGGAAAAGUAAGAUUGUAAUCUCCUUGAGGACCAAGACCCUCUUCUUUCUUAAUUUCUUCCUACCUGCCUUCUGGGCAGGCCUGGGAUGGGGUUCCAAGCCUGACACUGAAAUGCGGAAACAGUGAAACCUUUUACAACACACAGUAUGCUCUUUUCUUCAACCCAUCAAAGUAUCCAGAAUUUGGCUGUGAUAAAUCUCCUUCAACUCCCUCUUUUUACAGGGGGGUGAUUGGGCCAAGGAAGGUGGAGUAGCUUACCCAUGUUUCCAUGAUGAGCCUGAGGUAGCGCCAGAACGAGGACCCACUUCCCAUUGACCUCUGUCUACUUCAGGAGGCAGGUGUGUUUAAAUAGAACACUGGGUUUUGAAGUUGCAUAAGAAAACAGUUGAAUCUGAAGAAAGGCAGCCCUAAAACAAGGCAAUGCGGGGAAUUGGGAAGCAGGGCAAUUGUGGGAAUGGAAGACCCAAUCUUGCUUGGAAUCUGUAUGUCGCCAGCGAAUGUCUUUCAUCCCCAUUAUUAGUUAGUUGGUUAAUUAGCUGGUGUUGGUCUACAGCUGGUUAAUGGCCUGACAUAGAAUAUAAUUUUCAUCACUGGGCUCUCUGAAGGGUAUAUUUUUGGCUUGCCAUUCUCUGUGGUUUGACUUUUCGACCCAGUGUUCCAGUGGAAAUUUUCCAGAACAUUGAAAUUUCAAAAUGCAAGAGGAAGAAUAGAAAUCACAGCCUUAAAACAAAUGAGACAGGAGCUACUAGUCCAUUCUAGUCCCCAUCCUAGCAUCCCAUUCUCCACCCCCUCAGAAAUACAUCAGCAUAUCUGGCAGAGCUGGGUUUCACAAAACAAGAUGCACAGCUUGAUGAAACAGGGAUGCUGACGGAGGCAGUGAGAGGAGGCAUUGGUGGGGUGGAGAGCGAAGAGGGAGAAGGAGUGGUCUGGACGCUAGCUGAAGAAGCCUUAAUGAUCCUAAAAAUUAUUGGGCAAUAAUUGCUACCUUGGAACUCACUUUGCUGUUCCAAAGAAUGAUAAAGCACCUUAAUUAUUGCUUUAAAUAACCACACAGCUCCAUCAAAACAGCAUGAAAUAGCACCCACGUAUGAGCAAACUUAUCUACUGCCAUUGCUGUUUACAGCCUGAGAAAUCCUUAAGGAAACAACAGGAUAAUAACUUGGUGGAGUCAUCAUCUAGUCUGGGCCCUCAAGAUUCUAGGUUACUCAGGCCUGGGAGAGGUGCUGGCACGUUGCCCUCGUUCUCCUUGACAUUCUGAGAUCUUUAACUGGGACAGUGAGAAAGAAGUCAUUGCUUUCAUUCUCUUAACCAUUGGGCUGGGGUGGGGAGGGCAGUGUUUAGGGAUUUUUUUAAAAGUUCCUCAUUACGACAGGAAUUUCAGCCUAUCCACGGAGGUUCUUCCUAUCCAUUGGGAUUUCAGGAUACUCUGAGACCAAAGCCUUUGCAACAUAUGCUUUGCCUCACGGUGCUACAAGUAGUUAAGAGCAGCCCAGCUCAAUCAAAACACAGCGUGUCUUUUACUCCUUCCUUGGUCAGGAUAAGCUCCUGUUUCUGGCUUCCUAGAGCUGCAGGAAAAUAGGAGGGUUCUUCAUUUAAAUUUCAGGAGUUGGUUUCUGAGAGAAGGGACUUAGUGGAAGAAAAAACAGCUAAAUUAUAUUUUAGCUUUUCCCUGCUAGAGAAUUUUUGGUCUGUUCCCUGUUUGGUCUGUUUCUCAGCAGACCUUACCAGCCCCUCAGAGUGCAAACCUUUUGGUCAACCUGAGAACCAUAGCUCACAGAGGAAACCUCAUCUUGCCUGCCUCUUCAGAGUUAGGGUAGAGGGCAGCCUUCUGAAUGUGCAGAAGGUGCUCGUUGAAUAAAUCUGAUAGCUUCCAGAGUGGUAUUCAUCGUCCCUGGGCUGGGCUUCCAGCCAGACUAGGGAAUAUCUGCACAUCCAGAUCUCCACCCCAGUCCUAAAGCUGAUGCAGAUUGUACCUGCUGCUUGCCAGCUUCUUCUCCUAAGGAGGCACUUACUGCAGACAUGAUAACUUCCUUCAAUUUUGGUGUGUUGCAAUUAACUAAGAAAUCUAAUUUUCACAAGACUGUUAUCAGCGAUGGUACCAGCUUAGCUGGGGCACCAAUCUACUCUGCAAUCAAUAUCGAGCCUCACAAAACACCAUCUCAUCUCUUUUUAAUGACGUUCAUAAAAGCACAUACUUUCAAAGAAAGGAACCAUCUCCCAUCAUAUGUAUUUUCUCCCCAGUAUGAAAAAAGUAGCCUAUGAAAAAUAUUGGUGAACUUCUUAGAGGGGUACAUUUCUUAUUUAUUGACAGCUUAGAAGAAGAAAUAAUUCGGAUCAAAUGACCUUUUGUCUUUGUAGACAAACUAAAAAUAGAGUUAAGUUCAAGGUAUCUCUCUCACAUAUACACACACACAUUUUUUGUUCUCUUCAUGCCUGUCCUUAGUCACUCCCUGUAGCGUUAGUCAAGAAUGGACUCUUGAAUAUUUGAAAGGACCAGAGGAUGGCAGAGCUGAGCCAUUUAUUUUGCUGCUCUUGAAAAAUGAGACAUGUUGUAAACUAAUAGAUAAGAAGUUAUUGGUAUUAUUAUCUGCUUAAUCACUUUCUCCUAAAUUUGGCUCCUAGGAGUUUGGGAGGUGGGUGAAAUCACCCAUUCGUCUCUGCCAGUAUCCAGUUCUUCCUUCAUGCAGAAAUAAAUACUGGUCUAUAUACAUAAGGGUUUGAAAACCAGUAAACCACUCAUUAUACCUAAAUUAGUUUUCUCUGUACUGUAGCCCUUGGCAUCUGUAGUCCCAAGGCAUGAUGUCCUCUGUGCACAAACUGAAGAGGAAAUUAAGGAAGUAUUGCCCUUUUUGUUAAAGCCAACUAAAAAGAUAUUGGGCUUAAAUUACCUAGUUUGAUUUUCUGUAAUGAUGAAAUCCAUGUAACUAGUUGCUAAAUCCUUACUACAGUACACAUUAAUGAUAACGUGUUCUCCUUGAGCAUAUGCUCCAUUCCUCAUUCCUGAUGGGAUUUUUGGCAUUAUAAUGAUUGGUGUUCUUUCCCCACAUUUGUUCACCUUUGAUAAAGUGGAGCGAAAGGAAAAACAAAUCUGCAAAUUGUCCAAAGAAAGGCAACAAGAAUUGUGUGUGUCCAUAUACGUGUGCAUAUGUAUAUUCAUAGCCACCGGAGAGUUCAGAAAUCAAAGUGACCUUAAACUUCCUGUUGUGUGAACUUCCUAUAGACCAGUUCAAGCACAUAGAGCAGUCGGUGCCAGGAGGGAGGUGGAAAUCACCUGUACCACUCUCCCCAUUAUGUAUUUAGAGAAACCAGAGCUUAGUGGUUUACCCGAGGUCACCCAGCAUAUUGGUGGCAGGACUAAAAUUCACAUUCUUCUUUUCACUGCUGUCAUGCAUCCGCUCACAUUUACUUUCUAUGAGAGAUGCUGUGUUUGGAAUAGUCUGAGAGAAGAUCCCCUCUGUGUCUCAGAGAGAUGAUUCUGUUGUCUGUUGGGUACUAUCAGCUAGACCUGGCAGUGCCCAGUGGGCACAGAGGUUGAUUAUUGUGGCAGAAGUUCAAGGAUCCAGCACAGGUUGGGCAAAUGGCCCAGUGAUUUCUCUGUCUUGAGGAGAUUCCAGACACCUCAUACAAGGAGUACGGUGUGAUUUUGCAGUUUGAAUGGAGGAAAAAUGUCUUAGAACAAUUGGUACUGUCUUUAGUUCCUGAUAGUGGCCUAGCGCAUUUGUUGCCUGAUCACCUAGACUUCAGACAUUCUGAAUUUAGUCUAAUAGUGAGUAAAGUAGAGCGAAUGGGUUCUUUAAUUUUUUUAAAUUAAAAAAUGAUUUGCCCCCUAAAUUGAAAAAAGUGCUAGUGAAAGGGGAUGUUAGCCUUUCCAGAGACCCAUGCACCACUUGAGAAUUGAGGGUUUUUUCCCCUCUCCCUUAAAUAAAGUGAAUAUAGUGCUCAUGAAAGGUGCUAAUAGCAGUUCAAAGGCUGAUAUUUUAGUCUUGAACUGGUAGUAUUUGUUCAAGUCCCUCUAUUUAACUUUUCCUCCUUCAGACACAUGUUAGUGGUGGGGAAAAGGAUGGUCUUACAUGAGAGACUCCUACUCACUUGGCUCCCAUUCCUCAAUGCUUCUUAGAAAAAAGGAUUCCGGGUUCCCUCCCACAUCCUCCGGCUAGAAUACAGUUUGGUUUUCUGGUCUACACAGGCCAAGAGAAGGGAAGGCAAUGAUUGGUUAACCUUGGAACUUGGAUGUAAACAGCUUUUUCAUUAAAGCCACAAAGCCAAAUC